GAUGAACGCUGGCGGCGUGCUUAACACAUGCAAGUCGAACGGAAAGGCCUCUUUCGGGGGGUACUCGAGUGGCGAACGGGUGAGUAACACGUGAGUAACCGGCCCGUAACGUUGGGAUAAGUUCAGGAAACGGGGGCUAAUACCGGAUAGGAGCUCCAGCUGCAUGGUGGGGGGUGGAAAGUUUCGGCGGUUGGGUGUGGACUCGCGGCAUAUCGGCUUGGUGGUGGGGUAGUGGGUCACUAAGGCUUUGGCGGGUCGCCGGCCUGAGCGGGUGACCGGCCACCUUGGCUCGGACGGACGGCCCAGCCUCCUACUGGUGGCAGCCGUGGGGAAGAUUGCACCAUGGGUGGGAGCCUGCUGCAGCAAGGCCUUGGGCGGGAUGACGGCCUUCGGGGUGGACACCGCUUUCGCUCCUGACGAAGCUUUGUGUGACGGUAGUGGGUGAAGAAGCACCGGCUAACUCCGUG
rnacentral:rRNA from 1 species